UCCUGGGAUUUCAAUUUCAAA
rnacentral:piRNA from 1 species